rnacentral:rRNA from 1 species
GAUGAACGCUGGCGGCGUGCCUAAUACAUGCAAGUCGAGCGAACGGACGAGAAGCUUGCUUCUCUGAUGUUAGCGGCGGACGGGUGAGUAACACGUGGAUAACCUACCUAUAAGACUGGGAUAACUUCGGGAAACCGGAGCUAAUACCGGCUAAUAUUUUGAACCGCAUGGUUCAAAAGUGAAAGACGGUCUUGCUGUUACUUAUAGAUGGAUCCGCGUUGCAUUAGCUAGUUGGUAAGGUAACGGCUUACCAAGGCAACGAUGCAUAGCCGACCUGAGAGGGUGAUCGGCCACACUGGAACUGAGACACGGUCCAGACUCCUACGGGAGGCAGCAGUAGGGAAUAUUCCACAAUGGGCGCAAGCCUGACGGAGCAACGCCGCGUGAGUGAUGAAGGUCUUCGGAUCGUAAAACUCUGUUAUUAGGGAAGAACAUAUGUGUAAGUAACUGUGCACAUCUUGACGGUACCUAAUGAGAAAGCCACGGCUAACUACGUG